rnacentral:rRNA from 1 species
ACUCCUCGGGAGGGCAGCAGUGAGGAAUAUUGGUCAAUGGAGGGAACUCUGAACCAGCCAUCCCGCGUGUAGGAAGACGGCCUUAUGGGUUGUAAACUACUUUUAUACAAGGGAAGAAACGUACCCUCGUGAGGGUGCCUGACGGUACUGUAGGAAUAAGCACCGGCUAACUCCGUGCCAGCAGCCGCGGUAAUACGGAGGGUGCGAGCGUUAUCCGGAUUUAUUGGGUUUAAAGGUCCGUAGGCGGGUUAAAUAAGUCAGUGGUGAAAUCCCAUCGCUUAACGAUGGAACUGCCAUUGAUACUGUUAGUCUUGAAUGAGGGUGCAGUGGUUGGAAUGUGUAGUGUAGCGGUGAAAAUGCAUAGAUAUUACACAGAACACCGAUUGCGAAGGCAGAUCACUAACCCU